GCGCCUGUAGCUCAGUAGGAUAGAGCAACUGCCUUCUAAGCAGUCGGUGAGGGGUUCGAGUCCCUUCAGGCGCGCCA
rnacentral:tRNA from 1 species